GGUGGGUUGGCUCAGUGGUUAGAGCGUAGGUCUUGUAACCGAAAGGUUGCGGGAUCGAGUGCCGCUAGAGGCUG
rnacentral:tRNA from 1 species